GAUGAACGCUAGCGAUAGGCCUAACACAUGCAAGUCGAGGGGCAUCACAUGAAGUAGCAAUACGGAUGGUGGCGACCGGCGCACGGGUGAGUAACGCGUAUGCAACCUGCCUACAACAGGGGGAUAACCCGUUGAAAGACGGACUAAUACCCCAUAACACAGGGGUCCCGCAUGGGAAUAUUUGUUAAAGAUUUAUCGGUUGUAGAUGGGCAUGCGUUCCAUUAGCUAGUUGGUGAGGUAAGGGCUCACCAAGGCAACGAUGGAUAGGGGAACUGAGAGGUUUAUCCCCCACACUGGUACUGAGACACGGACCAGACUCCUACGGGAGGCAGCAGUGAGGAAUAUUGGUCAAUGGGCGCAAGCCUGAACCAGCCACGUCGCGUGAAGGAAGACGGCCCUACGGGUUGUAAACUUCUUUUGUAAGGGAAUAAAGUGCAGUACGCGUACUGUUUUGCAUGUACCUUACGGAUAAGGAUCGGCUAACUCCGUGCCAGCAGCCGCGGUAAUACGGAGGAUCCGAGCGUUAUCCGGAUUUAUUGGGUUUAAAGGGUGCGCAGGCGGGAGAUUAAGUCGGCGGUGAAAUUUUGCAGCUCAACUGUAAAAGUGCCAUCGAUACUGGUUUUCUUGAGUGUGGAUGAAGUAGGCGGAAUUUGUGGUGUAGCGGUGAAAUGCAUAGAUAUCACGAGGAACUCCGAUUGCGCAGGCAGCUUACUAAACCAUAACUGACGCUCAGGCACGAAGGCGUGGGGAUCAAACA
rnacentral:rRNA from 1 species